UACGUAGGGGGCAAGCGUUGUCCGGAAUCAUUGGGCGUAAAGAGCUCGUAGGCGGUCUGUCGCGUCUGCUGUGAAAACUCAGGGCUUAACCCUGAGCUUGCAGUGGGUACGGGCAGACUAGAGUGCGGUAGGGGAGACUGGAAUUCCUGGUGUAGCGGUGAAAUGCAUUGAGAUCGGAAAGAACACCAACGGCGAAAGCACUCUGCUGGGCCGACACUGACACUGAGAGACGAAAGGCUAGGGGAGCAAAUGGGAUU
rnacentral:rRNA from 1 species